UCGUAACAAGGUCUCCGUUGGUGAACCAGCGGAGGGAUCAUUAUCGAGUUAUUCAACUCCCAAACCCUAUGUGAACUUACCACUUGUUGCUUCGGCGCGCGCUUCGGCGCCGCCGAGGACACUUAAACUCUUUGUUUUUAUAAGCAUUUCUGAGUGGCCGAAAGGCAAAAAUACAAAUGAAUCAAAACUUUCAACAACGGAUCUCUUGGUUCUGGCAUCGAUGAAGAACGCAGCGAAAUGCGAUAAGUAAUGUGAAUUGCAGAAUUCAGUGAAUCAUCGAAUCUUUGAACGCACAUUGCGCCCGCCAGCAUUCUGGCGGGCAUGCCUGUUCGAGCGUCAUUUCAACCCUCGAGCCCGACUCUUUUGAGGACGGCUCGGCGUUGGGGGACGGCAGACUCCCCCCGGCAUCUCGCCGGGGACGCCGCCCCCGAAAUCUAGUGGCGGCCCUCCGAGGCGACCUCUGCGUAGUAACUUGUUCUCGCACCGGAAAGCUCACAGCGGCCACGCCGUAAAACCCCAACUUUUUUCAGGUUGACCUCGAAUCAGGUAGGACUACCCGCUGAACUUAAGCAUAUCAAUA
rnacentral:rRNA from 1 species